rnacentral:rRNA from 1 species
UACAUGUCCUGUCGUGGGGGAUAGCCCGGCGAAAGCCGGAUUAAUACCGCAUACGUCCGAGAGGAGAAAGUGGGGGACCCGCAAGGGCCUCACGCGAUUGGAUUGGCCGAUGUCCGAUUAGCUAGUUGGUGGGGUAAAGGCCUACCAAGGCGAUGAUCGGUAGCUGGUCUGAGAGGAUGAUCAGCCACACUGGGACUGAGACACGGCCCAGACUCCUACGGGAGGCAGCAGUGGGGGAUUUUGGACAAUGGGGGCAACCCUGAUCCAGCCAUUCCGCGUGGGUGAAGAAGGCCUUCGGGUUGUAAAGCUCUUUUGUCCGGAGCGAAAAGGCGAGCGUGAAUAUCGCUCGCUACUGACGGUACCGGAAGAAUAAGCACCGGCUAACUACGUGCCAGCAGCCGCGGUAAUACGUAGGGUGCGAGCGUUAAUCGGAAUUACUGGGCGUAAAGCGUGCGCAGGCGGUUUUGUAAGCCAGAUGUGAAAUCCCCGGGCUCAACCUGGGAAUGGCAUUUGGGACUGCAAGGCUCGAGUGCGGCAGAGGAGACUGGAAUUCCUGGUGUAGCAGUGAAAUGCGUAGAUAUCAGGAGGAAUACCGAUGGCGAAGGCAGGUCUCUUGGCUUGACACAACGCUCAUGCACGAAAGCGUGG